GGCUCGACUCAGUCUGAGAGGUGCUGACAGAAAUUGAACAUUCUCUGGCUCUCCUCCGUUCACAAUUACAAAUCUGACCAGAGCUCCUCGUCUCGCGCAGCGACCUCGUUCCUCACGGCGCAGAACGUCUUCGUCCUGCUCCUAUUUAAUUAUUCGGAAAGUCUUUUAGUACAAGGACAUAUUCUGUGAUAGGAGCCCACUGCCGCGAGCAUGAACUCGACAAGAAAUUACAAACCAAACAUGCUCGUUCUGAUUCUCGCCGUAUUUGCUGGCGUGUGGAUGGCACGAGGGCAAGGUUCUUAUGUGGAUGGGAGGCUAGCAGUGACCCAAAGAGGAGGUCAGGUGGAAGCAGAGGAUGGGUCCAAUCCAUAUCACACCACACAGGACACAGACAGAGACCUUCCACUGUUCACGACGGCUCCCCCUUACAGUGGCCUCCACCACCAUCCGCCUUUUAAGUCCUACCCGCCUUACGACCCCCGGGGCAAAAGCCACGAGCAGUAUUUUCAAGACAGUGGAGGGGCAGCUUACCAUCCCACAAUGCCAUCGUCUAGUUCCCAUCUCCUUCAAGAUCCAUCCACACAGCUGGUCCCACACAAGGAUGCGCCUCCAUUCUCUGAUGUAGCAGCUCCCAGAACCACCACACUUGCUCCAUCAGCCGCAGCGCUCACCCAGCCACACAUGCUCAACAUCCUACACAAACCUUCAGCAGAAACGCAGAGGAGAAGCACGAGGGAACCACCCCUGUCUGUGACCACAGCAUCACUGACCACCACUGAUGUGCACACAUCUGCACCACCUGCUUCCAAACUGCCAGAAAGAAGAGAUAUCACUCCGACCUUAAACAACAAGCCCUUAGAUCCAACAAUCCCGGUAAAAAGAGACAAAGAAAAGUCCUCAAUACUCAAUUCAGAACAUGGCACUCCAGGAGGUGAUGUUGCUGUAAAAGCAUCAUCAGUAUCUGGAGAUUUGGAUGAUGAGACCACCACCUCCACAAUCAUCACUACAACGGUUAUUACAACUAUGCAGACGCCAGCUCCGUGCAACACCAAUUUCACAUCGCCGGGAGGCUACAUAGAGUCACCGCAGCAAGCCAGGAGUUUGUACAAUACUGAUGUGGACUGCACAUACACCGUGACAGUCUACAUGGGCUAUGGGGUGGAAAUUCAGGUGAUGAACGUGAGCCUUGGAGAGGGCGACGUGGUCAGAUUUGAAGACCUGGGCGGCCGGGAACCUUCUGUCCUGGCCAACGAGUCCAUCUUACUGAAAGGUCUGGUGGUACGCAGCUGGAGCAACCAAAUCUCCAUCCACUUCCGCAGCCGGCAGACGCAGUCCAGCUCCUUGCUGCUGCGUUACCAAGCAUUUGUGUUGAGUUGCAACUUCCCUGAUAGACCAGCAUAUGGGGACGUGUCUGUCACCAGCCUGCAUGCAGAGGGAGAGGCCUAUUUCUACUGCUUUAGUGGAUACCAACUCCAGGGUCCCUCCACCCUCACAUGCCGCAAUGCCACCACACCCUACUGGAGCGGCAAAGUGCCGCGCUGUCUUGUGGCCUGCGGUGGAAUGGUGAAAAACGCGACCCUCGGCCGUAUUGUGUCCCCUGGUUUCCCUGGCAACUACAGCAACAACCUGACCUGCCACUGGGUGCUGGAGGCCCCUGAGGGUCAACGGCUGCAUGUGCACUUCGAGAAGGUGGCCCUCGCAGAAGACGAUGACAGGUUCCUGAUUAAAAACGGCAACCACAUUGAUUCGCCGAUUUUGUACGACUCGUACGAGGUGGAAUACCUUCCUAAUGAGGGAAUCGUUAGUUCCGCCAGACAUCUCUUUGUGGAGUUUACGACGGAUGGUUUCGGCACCAACACGGGAGUAGCCGUCAGAUAUGAAGCUUUUGCAGCAGGGCACUGCUACGAGCCAUUCGUCAAGUACGGCAACUUCACCACCACUGACAGCACCUACGCUGUGGGCACGGUCGUGGAGUUCACCUGUGACCCCGGAUACACCCUGGAGCAGGGCUCAGUUAUCAUCGAGUGCAUGGAUCCCAGCAACCCUCAAUGGAACGAGACUGAGCCCGCCUGCAGAGCGGUUUGCAGUGGAGAGAUCACAGAUUCAGCCGGGGUGGUGUUGUCUCCAAACUGGCCUGAGGCCUAUGAUAAGGGUCAGGACUGCAUCUGGGGGAUCCAUGUUGAAGAAGACAAGAGGAUAAUGCUAGACAUCCAAGUUCUCCACAUGGGAAAGAAUGACCUGCUGACUUUUUACGAUGGAGAUGACCUGACUGCAAAGAUACUUGGCCAGUACAGCGGUUCCCGUCCUCGCUUCAAACUCUACACCUCCAUGGCUGAUGUGACCAUCCAGUUCCAGUCGGACCCUGCUACCAACAUCUACGGCUACAACAAUGGUUUUGUGGUGCACUUUUUCGAGGUUCCCCGUAACGACACCUGUCCAGAGCUUCCAGAGAUCUCCAACGGCUGGAAGACCACAUCUCACCCUGACCUGGUACACGGCACGGUGGUGACCUAUCAGUGUUACCCAGGCUUUGAGGUGGUGGGCACAGAAAUGCUCAUGUGUCAGUGGGACCUGACCUGGAGCGGAGACUUGCCCAGCUGCGAAAGAGUCCUGUCAUGCCCAGACCCAGGCACGGUGGAGCACAGUCGCAGGGUGAUGUCAGGCCCGCGUCUCAUCGUGGGCUCUACUGUCCAGUACAUCUGUAACAAAGGCUACUCGCUGUCCGGAAACAGCCUGCUCUCCUGCUACCACCGUGACUCCACCGGUCCCAAAUGGAGCGAGAAACUGCCCAAAUGCAUUCCUGAUUCGUAUGAGCCAUGUAGGAACCCCGGCACUCCUCCCUAUACCAUUCAGAGCUCGGAGAAGCAUGUGUAUCAGGCUGGAGAAACUGUGCGCUUCUCCUGCAUGAGUGGGUAUGAGCUCCAGGGUGAGCCUGUUCUCCGCUGUGUCCCCGGGCAUCCUUCCAAAUGGAGCCAUCCACCCCCGCUGUGCAAAGCGGUAACACUGGAGUACAUAGAUGAACGCAGACUGGAUGUGGCCAGUGCAGAUUUCAGUAUGGAGGGAGCAAGUGUGGCUGUUUCCAUUUUUAUCCCAGUGGCCGUAAUCGUAAUUAUCAUCAUGUCGAUAUAUUUCUACUUUUCAAGAGUGCAAGGCAAGUCUCUACGUCUUUCCAUGUCCACAUCACCACAAUACGAUCAAAUCAGAGGAGAGUCAGCUUUUGAAAACCCCAUCUACGAGACUGCAAACAAUGAGGUGAGAUUUUGAAAGUCAAUACUUUUACAAUAAUACAUGCUCUUUUCCCCCAGCCUCCUGUGUCUAGCAUGCACUACAGACUGCAGGUUAUUCGCACCUCUUAUGUGCUGUGCUAGUCUCCCUCCAGAUCUCUCUCUCUCUCUCUCUCUCUCUCUCUCUGUGGUGUGGCAGUCAUAACACAGUCCCAGCAGCUCACUCCCUGCAUAUACUAAACCGUUCGAUAACAGUUUCUGGCCCCUAGGGCAAAGUCUGCUUUGACUGUACGUUAAGUGUGUGUGGCUGGACAGAUGAGCGUCUGUGUGCUGUAUGUGUUUGUGCAUGUAUGUGUGCCGCUUCUUCAUGCACUAAUGCCCUGAAGUGGUGUACUAGCAGUAUGUGAAGAUGAUGCAAACAGAAGCAUCUCUCGGGUGUGAAAAAAGACAUGUCAAGUCUGGGUUUCCCAAAGAGUGCGAUUACAAAAAGCAUAGCUGAUCAAUAUUACAUUUUGGACAUUUAAUUUCUGGAUUAUAAAGGUUUGUUUUCAUAUGCAUUAUUGAUUUAUCAUGCUGUUUAUUUUUCAUAAACGUCAGAAGGCUUUUAAAUGCUCAUUUAAAAAUCUGCAUUGUUUUUAUUUGUGAAAACAUCACAGUAUCACUUCAUAAAUCAUGCAUAGUUUUCACAGCAAAGUAGCCUGAUAGUUUUUUCCUGCAGACUUCCAUUAUGUUUCCAUUGCUGAUUAUUAUUUUUACGUUUUUUUUUUCAUGCUUAAGUUGCAUGGUAUUUUUGAUUUGUACAGAGACCUAUGAUUCAAAGCAGCCACCAGAGGUACUCUCUAGGAUUCUGUUGUAAAGAAAGAGCCUGUAAGGAGAGUUGAUCAAUGGAAUAGCAUCACAUGGACAAGGCUGAGAAGGAUACGAGAGAAUACGAAGUCUCCAUUUAAGCUGGUUUUAGCAUGGAGGACCGCAAGCCUUUCUCUGCCUUGUGGAAGAUCUCUCAGUUCCUCUCACAUCUUGUGUCGCCAACUCUGCUCUUAAUCUCACCUACCUUCUCAUCUUUUCUCAUCUGCUGUAAAUAUCACCUUGCUUCUGAGGACUUCCGCAAGCGAAGUGUGUGGACAACAUGAUAUUAUUUUUGUAGAGCUUCAAUACCCAUGGCCUAGCAGAAUUGCUUGUACAGUUUUUACCCGUAAUUGAGCCAAAUUAAGGAAUAAUAAUAAUAAUAAAAAAGACUGAUAAUAGGGGAGUACAUGUUAUUUAGGUGAUUGAUGUCUCGCUAAACAGAUUUUUUUCAUUUAUUUAUUUUUAAGUGUCGCACUUUUGUACUCACAACCCCAUUCUUCCCCCUCUCCAAGAAAUUCACAUGUAAAGUUACAUUGUGAGAUUUAAAUAAAUCACAAGCACAGGAAAUAGUUGCACUUGUGAAAUGAUAUAAAUUCACACAUAAAGUAAUUGAACAAAAUACAAAUAAAUUCACAAUUACCUGUUAAUUGGAAGAAUAAGGCAGAAAUGGGUUUCCAUAGCAAUGACAUAAACUACCAUUUAAAAGUUUGGACGUUUUUUUUCAUGUUUUUAAAAGAAAAGUAUUUUUGGAAAAAAAUACAUUAAAAAUGAGGAUAUUGUAAAAAUAUUAUUGUGUUUUCCAUUUGAAUAGAUUAAGGUUGAAUAGAACAUUUAAUUUAUUCCUGUGAUGGUAAAGAUGAAUUUUCAGCAUCCAUUACUCCAGUUUUCAGUGUCACAUGAUCCUUUAGAAAUCAUUCUAAUGUGCUGAUCAGAUACUCAAGAAACUUUCUUUCUUAUUAUUAUCAAUGCUAAAAACAGUAUGCUGCUCACAUAUUGUGGAAAUCUUGAUAAUUGUUUUUCAUGAUUUUUUUAUAAAUAGAAUGUUCAAAAGAACAGCAUUUAGAUCUCAUUCUGAUUUUACUUUUGAGCUGUUUAAUGCAUCUUUUCUGAAUAAAUAUAUUAUUAUUAUUAUUAUUUUCUGACUUGACUUCAAACUUUUAUUAUAUCUGGAGUUCUUAUACGAAUGAACUAGUCCCAAAUAUAAUCAUAACAUUUUCCACCUGAACACCUUCAUACAGGAAAAAUAAAUGUUCUUUAAAACAAUUAUGUUAAACUCAGCAACCAUUGUACAAUUAAACCUAUGCAUGGUUUACGUUUUUUAUUAUUAUUAUUUUAAUUUCCCACAAAAUGAAAAUGAAAUGUGUUAUUACAACAGCUGUGAUUAUAAACCUUCAAAUAAGAUCUAGUUUCAUGAAGUGUAGUAUUUUGCAUGAAAACUGGAACACCUUGUAUCCAGUAAUGUGAAGUGGGUCCCUGUUUCAUUGGGGUGGACUCAAGCCUUUACGUUAACCUUACUUAUGGCUUGCCUGUUUGUACAGUCAAAGAAAAGACUGCUGGGGAAGUAGUCUCUAUCUGUUUUAAAUUCAGCUUCGAUUGAUUUUGCCAGAAGUAAAAAUCUAUGUACAGAAAGUUCUUGUAAAUCAUCCCUCCUUCACUGAUCAAUUGGCUCUAUUUUUUGGUUUCCGUUUAUUUUUGUAUGUUUUUGUAUGGAACAAAAUAACAACUGACUGUACUCUAUCAGCAGGCACUCUUCAUAUAUAAAUAUCUAAGAAUGUACAUAAAAUUUGUAUUAGAUAUGGCUUAAAUGUAUGUAUAUAUAUGGGGUUUAUCUAUUAUAGAAUAGAUCUUUGUUUAUCAUUUCACAGUCUGUCUGUUAAUAUCAAUUAAAUGGAUCAUCUAAAACAAUUAUGUGCUUGGUCCCCAUAUGAAUGUUGUCUGUAUUGACUGAAAUAUUGUCAUUUCAAUGUAACUAGCAAAAGCUGCCAAAAACAUCACAGUUGGUCACAUGACAGACUUGCAUCUUGAGUGUAUGUUUCAAUGUUUCACUGUCUCCAACUAAACAACCGAGUUUGGGAACCUAAGAAACAACAUUUAUUGGAAGUCAGAGCAACAUCCAUAACUCUGGUAUAGUUACAGACGUUACAUUCAUAUUAAAUUAUCCAAAGCAACUUAUCAAUGAGGAAUACAGCAUGAGCAGUUACUUAAUAAGACAAGUGCUGCAACAUUAAGUAGCCUAUAGCAGUGUAGUUUGAGUUUAUUUUUUAUUUUUUUAUGUAUUUAUUUUUGAGGGAUUCAGAAAGGAAGGAAUUUAGCCUAAAAGUUCCAAGGGACUUGGUUGUUUAGGAUUAUCAUUGUCCAAAAUGAUAUAUUUCUACUUUGUUGCACUGUACUGUAAUUAUUUACCACAACACUGUCAUAGCAUAUCUUCAAUUAAAAAUGAUAUUCCAUCA